rnacentral:rRNA from 1 species
AGAGUUUGAUCAUGGCUCAGGAUGAACGCUGGAGGCGUGGCUAAGGCAUGCAAGUCGAACGAGAUCAUUGUUGUAGCAACACUUCAAUGGUUAAGUGGCAAACGGGAGCGUAACACAUUGGUAAUCUACCUUUUUCUCACGAACAACUCAUGGAAACGUGAGCUAAUACGUGAUACGGAUGAGGGGCCGCAGGGCAUUCUCAUUGAAAGAUUUAUCGGAAAAAGAGGAACCUAUGGUCCAUCAGCUAGUUGGCGGGGUAACGGCCCACCAAGGCUAUGACGGAUACCAGGCGCGAGAGCGUGACCUGGCUCAAUGGGACUGAGACACUGCCCAUACACCUACGGGUGGCUGCAGUCGCGAAUAUUCCACAAUGGACGAAAGUCUGAUGGAGCGACGCCUCGUGUCGGAAGAAGGCCCUCGGGUCGUAAACGACUUUUAUUAGGGAAGAAUCCUGACGGUACCUAAUGAAUAAGUGGUUGCUAACUCUGUGCCAGCAGCAGCGGUAAUACAGAGACCACAAGCGUUAUCCGGAUUUAUUGGGCGUAAAGAGUUGUAGGCGGUUUUGUAAGUUAUUCGUUAAAUCCUCAGGCUUAACCUGGGGGCUGCGGUAAUACUGCAAGGCUAGAGUAUGGGAGAGGCAAGCGGAAUGCCCGGUGUAGCGGUAAAAUGCGUUAAUAUCGGGUAGAACACCAAAGGCGAAGGCAGCUUGCUGGAACAUUACUGACGCUCAAGAACGAAAGCGUGGGGAGCGAAAGGGAUUAGAUACCCCUGUAGUCCACGCCGUAAACUAUGGCUACUAGAUUUUGGGAGUAUCGACCCUCUCAGAGUCGACGAAACAAGCUAACGCGUUAAGUAGCCCGCCUGGGAAGUACGGUCGCAAGACUAAAACUCAAAGGAAUAGACGGGGACCCGCACAAGCGGUGGAUCAUGCGGUUUAAUUCGAUGCAACGCGAGAAACCUCACCCAGGCUUGAAAUAUAGCUGUGGUUCGCUGGAAACAGUGAACGUCUUAGAGAUUGCUAUGUAGGUGCUGCAUGGCUGUCGUCAGCUCGUGCCGUGAGGUGUACCCUUAAGUGGGGUAACGAGCGCAACCCCUGUCGUGUGUUAUACUUUCACACGAGACUGCCUUCGCAAGGAGGAGGAAGGAAGGGACGACGUCAAGUCAGCAUGGCCCUUACGUCUGGGACAACACGCAUGAUACAAUGGCCGGUACAAUGGGAGGCUAAGCCGCAAGGUAGUGCAAAUCUCUUAAAACCGGUCCCAGUUCGGAUCGGGGUCUGCAACUCGACCCCGUGAAGCCGGAAUCGCUAGUAAAGGCGGAUCAUAACGCCGCCUUGAAUACGUUCUCGGGUCUUGUACUCACCGCCCGUCACGUCAAGAGAGUUGGUAAUGCCCGAACGUCGCCUUAGGGCGGCGGAAGGCAGGACCAGCGAUAGGGACGAAGUCGUAACAAGGUAACCGUAAGGG